rnacentral:rRNA from 1 species
CCUACGGGAGGCAGCAGCCGCGGUAAUAGGCGCAAGCCUGACCGAGCAACGCCGCGUGCAGGACGACGCGUUUCGGCGUGUAAACUGCUUUUCUGUGGGACGAGUAAGGACGGUACCACAGGAAGAAGCCCCGGCUAACUACGUGCCAGCAGCCGCGGUAAU